AUGAAUGUGAUGCAGUAUUUUGACAGUCCCAAAUCUACUAAAGAUAUGGCUUUGGAAGUUCUUAUAAGGUUAGGGUAUUCCUUGCCUAUUAAGCCAAUUUUGUGAGGAUGACUUAGGCUUGAGCCCAAAUUCAAAGAAUAUCGAUACCAACAAGGGUCUGUUAGAUGCUACUACAGAAGAUAAUAUACCAAUCCUUAAACAAAGAAACAAACCAUGAUAUAUAAGGAAAUAUCGAAAACAAUCUUCAGAUUAUCUACAUUACUCUAAAAUAAAAUCAAGAUAUUAUCACAUGUUUUAACAUAUUAUACUGUUUAGGAGGUUGUCAAAGAAAACAUAUUAUACCGUUUAGGAGGUUUUCAAAGAAAAUCAAAUAUCAUGCAAUAAACUUGUUGAAAAUUUGGAGCCUAACUCAUCCUUACAAAACCGGCUUGUAAGGUGAGGAGUGUGUCCUCUUUAUAAACUCUGAUCAAGCUUCCUAUCUAACCAAUGUGGGACUAAAUCCACCCCCUCAAAGACAAGCCAACAUAAGGCAACUAGGGGCAGAUCGCAAUUAAGGUGGCACACCCCCUCACGCUCGGGGCGGGAUUUCCAACAAAACUUAUUAAAAAUUUAAGAUAUUGUCAACAAAAAAAAUAAAAUUAAGAUAAAUAAUAGUAUACCUUGUUUGAUAUAUGAUCAAGAAGGGCUCUAAUAAGCCAGGGUAAAGAGCG
rnacentral:lncRNA from 1 species